GACGAAGGGGGCUAGCGUUGUUCGGAAUUACUGGGCGUAAAGCGCGUGUAGGCGGUUGCCCAAGUCGGGUGUGAAAGCCUUGAGCUCAACUCAAGAAAUGCACUCGGUACUGGGUGACUAGAGGACCGGAGAGGAUAGUGGAAUUCCCAGUGUAGAGGUGAAAUUCGUAGAUAUUGGCUGGAACACCGGUGGCGAAAGCGGCUCUCUGGCCCGGUUCUGACGCUGAGGCGCGAAAGCGUGGGGAGCAAACAGG
rnacentral:rRNA from 1 species